rnacentral:misc_RNA from 1 species
GAGAGAGAGAGAGAGAGAGAAAUUGGGAACUGAUUUUUUUUUUUAUUUUUUAAUGUUAAAUUAUUAAAAAAUAAUUUUAUAUUUAAUAUAAAAUAUUAUUUCAUACCACAUCAGCCAGGUAGAUGCCGUCUUCCUUAAAAGCCGUCAGUUGCUAAUAGAGCAUUACCACAGGGUGUCUCUUUAUUACAAAGUAAAUGAAGUGAAAAUGGGUAAAAUUACAUAAUACUUUUUGAUAAUUUUCCCUAUUUAUUUCUUCUGGUAGGUGAUUAAAAAUGAAGUUAUAUAAAUUCACUUUGAUAUAAUAAGGGACUUGUGUGCAGAUAUGUUGAAGCAAGUACU